rnacentral:tRNA from 1 species
GGCGGGGUAGCUCAGAUGGUUAGAGCGCACGACUCAUAAUCGUGAGGUCGCGGGUUCGAUCCCCGCCUCCGCUACUA